CUGUCUCUCUCUCUCUCUCUCUCUCUCUCUCUCUCUCUCUGUUUUUCUCUCCUUGGGAGAGCUGCACAAGGCCCUACAGGGCACGGAAAACGGCCAGGCACCAGGGAAUUUUAUAAGGCAUUUUGGUCUGUAUUGGGUCAGGAUGUGCUUGAAGUGCUCCAGGUCAGUGUACGGGAAGGAAAACUUCCUCUCAGCUGUAGGAGAGCUGUCCUGACCUUGCCGCCGAAUAAAGGAGACCUGAAGGUGCUGAAGAACUGGCGCCCUGUGGCAUUGCUGUGCACAGACUGCAAGUUGCUCUCAAACACAUUAGGCUCAAGAGGUGGUGCAUCUUGACCAGACGUACUGUGUGCCAGAUCCCCCAACAAAUCUUCUUGCUGACCUGCAGUGGACGUUUUUGGGACCAAUUGCACUGGUUACCACAGGCCAUCGUCUAUCUACCUAAAGAAGAAGGAGGACAAGGGCUGGUUCACUGCUGCCUUUCACCUCCAGGUUAUUCAGAGACUCCUUAGUGGCCCUAAAGACUUGGUGUGGAGAGAAGUGGCAUGCAGGAUUUUACGCACUGUUGGGUGAAUGCAACUGGACAGAGCUCUGUUUCUUAUGACCACUAAAGCGCUGGACGUUGAUGGCCUGCCUGCGUUUUAUCGUGGACUUUUUAGAAUUUGGAGUUUUUUUAGCAUGUCUGGAAUAAGCAGCACCUCGUUACACUGGCUUCUGGAGGAACCUGUUAUUUAUGGGUCUCGGCUGGACGUAUCAAGCAAAACAUCUCCCACACUGGUCAGGGUUCUUGCUUCUUCCAACAUCUUUACCCUCCAUCAUCUAGUGGAAGUUGCAGGACCUGGUCUGGACCGUGUGCAGGACCUGGCGAUGCGCUUGGAGGUAAGGUCCUUGUGUGUUGUGGCUAAACUCCUACAGUGCUGGAGGUCAGUGCUGUCCUCUGAGGAACGAGCACUGAAAGAGGACUAUGGUGAAGGAGUGCUCAUCCCUGGUGAGGAUGACCCCUUCCCCAAGGUUACCAUCGUUCCUGACCUGCAGGGAUGUCAGGGCCUCCUCCUGGACUGUAAGAGGAGCUGAGCAUGGACCUGAGUUCAGUCUCUGGCAAGCUGAUUUACUGUGUGAAGGUUUUUAAUAGAAAGAGACUGGAGAACAGGACUAACACGCCGUGGUGAGAUGCUCUGGGACUCGCUGACAAGGUGAAGCUACAGUGGAGAGCACUGUAUAAACCACUGUUAACUAAAAGAGUGGCAGAUCAACAGUGGAGGAUUUUACAUGGCAUUGUUUCAGUUAACUCUUUUAUUUUUAUUUUAAAUCCAGAGGUCACUCCAGGAUGCCAUUUUUGUUUUGAGAGCAAAAGUGUUUUACGCUUUUAUGCACUGUUUUAGGCUACGUCCCCUUUUUGACAUUUUAAAGACUUUGUUUCUGUCUUUUAAUGUGUUUUUUACUGCUCAUACUUUUAUCCUUGGUUUUAUGUAUGUCCAGAGGGAGAGGUUCAAGUGCCAGUUACUUAAUUUUAUUCUUGGUCAGGCCAAACUGGCAGUGUACAUGAGUCAGACAAAUCAUAUGUAGUACGGACCUUCUCUAGACAGGUCAAAUAAAGGAUUCUGAUUGAUUUUAACUACUAUAAGUGUAUGUCUGAUGGUGUCGUGUUGCGGGGAGGCAGUGUGCUCAGUUUUAGAUGAUGAACUUUGGUUUGUACCUGAUUUUAUUUAACACAAAAUGGAUUGUACUUUUUUGUAUUUAUUUAUUUUUAUCUUUUUUCUUUUAUUAUCUAUUAUUUAUUCAGCAACCCGUUCGUUUUUAUGUGCUGGUUUGAGGGCUGAGAUGGCCUGAAGUCACUUUUGCACAAUGUAACGAGAUGUGGAUACAAUAAAGUGCUGUUAAAAGUCAAAA